rnacentral:rRNA from 1 species
UACAGAGGCCCCAAGCGUUACUGAGAAUCACUGGGUUUAAAGGGUGCGUAGGUGGCGCGGUUAAGUCCGUUGUGAAAUCCCUGGGCUCAACCCAGGAAUUGACUUCGGAUACUGGCGUGCUUGAGGCCGGUAGGGGUGCACUGGAACAGACGGUGGAGCGGUGAAAUGCGUAGAUAUCGUCUGGAACGCCGAAGGUGAAAACGAGCUC